GCAUAAUAAGUCGCCCUUUAAUUGUGGGCUAGUAUGAAUGGACAAACGAAAGAAACCCUGUCUCUAUAAUAUAAACUAGAAAUUAGCCUUUAGGUGAAGAGACCUAACUGAAAUUAAAGGACAAGAAGACCCUGUAGAGCUUAGUUUUCACCUUAAUUAAAACAUAUAAUAAUCUUUACCAAUUUAUUUAAGAUGAAACUUAGCUGGGGCGGCUAAGGAAAUAAAUCUUCCUUUAAAUUUAAUGGUUUAUACACCAACUAAAUUUCGAUCCUUAAAUAAUAGAUUAAAAAACAAAGCUACCUCAGGGAUAACAGAUUAAUCCUUCUUGAGAGUUCGCAUUGACAGAAGGGC
rnacentral:rRNA from 1 species